CCUACGGGAGGCAGCAGUGAGGAAUAUUGGUCAAUGGACGAGAGUCUGAACCAGCCAAGUAGCGUGAAGGAUGACUGCCCUAUGGGUUGUAAACUUCUUUUAUAUGGGAAUAAAAUGUUCCACGUGUGGGAUUUUGUAUGUACCAUAUGAAUAAGGAUCGGCUAACUCCGUACCAGCAGCCGCGGUAAUACGGAGGAUCCGAGCGUUAUCCGGAUUUAUUGGGUUUAAAGGGAGCGUAGGUGGAUUGUUAAGUCAGUUGUGAAAGUUUGCGGCUCAACCGUAAAAUUGCAGUUGAAACUGGCAGUCUUGAGUACAGUAGAGGAGGGCGGAAUUCGUGGUGUAGCGGUGAAAUGCUUAGAUAUCACGAAGAACUCCGAUUGCGAAGGCAGUUCACUGGACUGCAACUGACACUGAGGCUCGAAAGUGUGGGUAUCAAACAGGAUUAGAUACCCUUGUAGUC
rnacentral:rRNA from 1 species